CCUUCGGGUGGCUGCAGUGAGGAAUAUUGGUCAAUGGCCGGAAGGCUGAACCAGCCAAGUCGCGUGAGGGAAUACGGUCCUAUGGGUCGUAAACCUCUUUUGUCAGGGAGCAAAGGCGGCCACGCGUGGACGAAAGGAGAGUACCCGAAGAAAAAGCAUCGGAUAACUCCGGGCCAGCAGCCGGGGUACUACGGAGGAUGCGAGCGUUAUCCGGAUUUAUUGGGGUUAAAGGGUGCGUAGGCGGCGUGUCAAGUCAGCGGUAAAAUUUCGGGGCUCAACCCCGUCGUGCCGUUGAAACUGACACCCUUGAGUGAGUGAGAAGUAAGCGGAAUGCGUGGUGUAGCGGUGAAAUGCAUAGAUAUCACGCAGAACGCCGAUUGCGAAGGCAGCUUACCGGCGCUCAACUGACGCUGAGGCACGAAAGUGCGGGUAUCGAACAGGAUUAGAUACCCUGGUAGUC
rnacentral:rRNA from 1 species